rnacentral:rRNA from 1 species
GACGAACCGAGCGAACGUUAUUCGGAAUCACUGGGCUUAAAGGGCGCGUAGGCGGCCACCGCAAGUCGACUGUGAAAUCUCCGGGCUUAACCCGGAAAGGUCAGCCGAUACUGCGGGGCUAGAGUGCAGAAGGGGCAACUGGAAUUCUCGGUGUAGCGGUGAAAUGCGUAGAUAUCGAGAGGAACACCUGCGGCGAAGGCGGGUUGCUGGGCUGACACUGACGCUGAGGCGCGAAAGCUAGGGGAGCGAACGGG